UACGUAGGGGGCAAGCGUUGUCCGGAUUUAUUGGGCGUAAAGAGCGUGUAGGCGGUCAGGUAGGUCCGUUGUGAAAACCUCGAGGCUCAACCUCGAGACGCCGAUGGAAACCAUCUGACUAGAGUCCGGAAGAGGAGAGUGGAAUUCCUGGUGUAGCGGUGAAAUGCGCAGAUAUCAGGAAGAACACCCGUGGCUAAGGCGGCUCUCUAGUACGGUACUGACGCUGAGACGCGAAAGCGUGGGGAGCGAACAGG
rnacentral:rRNA from 1 species